rnacentral:rRNA from 1 species
UGGGGAAUAUUGCGCAAUGGGCGAAAGCCUGACGCAGCGACGCCGCGCGUGGGAUGAAGCAUUUCGGUGUGUAAACCACUGUUGCCCGGGACGAACAGUCUGUUUCGACAGACCUGACGGUACCGGGUGAGGAAGCACCGGCUAACUCCGUGCCAGCAGCCGCGGUAAUACGGAGGGUGCGAGCGUUGUCCGGAAUCAUUGGGCGUAAAGGGCGCGUGGGUGGCCCGGUAAGCGUGCGGUGAAAGCUCGGGGCUCAACCCCGAGUCGGCCGUGCGAACUGCUGGGCUCGAGCACUGUAGAGGCAGGCGGAAUUCCGGGUGUAGCGGUGGAAUGCGUAGAGAUCCGGAAGAACACCGGUGGCGAAGGCGGCCUGCUGGGCAGUAGCUGACACUGAGGCGCGACAGCGUGGGGAGCAAAC